rnacentral:lncRNA from 1 species
GUACAAUAGCAAUAGACGCAUUUCCACAGCCUGCGCUGUUCCCGCAUACAGAACGAAGAGCAGAUACGAGGUGAACUGAGGGCCUGAGAGGAGCUGAGCCGAGUGCUUGCAGUGGCUCUUCAGUGUGAGGAAAAGAGGAAUAAUGCAGAUGCUGAUAGAGUCUGUUUUCACCAGGGAGCAUGCUCAGGAUUACAGGUCUCACACACACAGUGUUUGAGAGGAGGGGGGAGGAGUAAUAAACUGCACUUCAAAGCCACUCUGAUGAGGAAAGAGGUGAGAAAAAAAUCCCACCCCACAGAAAUGACUCUCGCUGCCUUUAUCCUGUAUCUAAAAAAAGGUAGAUGCAGGUUCUGCAGAGGACUUUUAAGUAGUGCAGACAAGUCUGUUGCUAUAAAUAGUGGCUGAGAGUCAAAGAAGCUGGUCCCAGAGAGGGACGAUUGGCGAAAGACGAGGAAAGCUCAAACUGGGACGCGCUUGAGCCACACAGUGACGAUCAAGCCUGGUUCGCUUACUGUACACUGUUAAAAUUAUAAGAUCUUUGAGAUACUUUUUGGGGUUCUUCCAUUUGGAAGUGUGGAGGAACCCCCUUAAGGUGCUUUGAGGAACCUUCAAGAAAAGGUUUUUAGAGAAAGCCUUUCUAAAAGGCUUAAAUUACCUUAAGGGUUUCCUCCCAAAUAUUCCACCCAAAUAAGAGUAUAGACUGUAGUUGGGUGCUGGUACAGUGUUUAGGUAACACAUAAACCAAGACUCAAAAAUUAUUGAUUUUUGCAGCACGGUAACAUAAACACUGUCUCUCUGAACCUGCCUCUGUCUCUGUUUCUCUUUUACUCAGGUUUUGAAGCAGCACAUGCUCUGUUUGUCUGGCAGACAGAGAAAAGCAGCUUUUAAAGAAGCCUGUGCAGUGGGUGAUCGAUACAGAGAGUGAACAGGCAAAGAAAUAUGUUUUUGAUGUUGUUUAUCUCUAGGUAUGAGAUAAGCCACUCUCCACUAUUAUUGUGGAAUCACCGAGCUUAUUGACAUCCUCAUAUCUUCUUUUUGCCAGAUCACCAACAACAAGGCAUUCAAAUUGUUGUAAGAUUUCAUAAGUGGAGUUAUGAAUAUAAAUUAAUUUUAGGAGAUUGACCCACACCCUUACUCCUCCCACUCUCCACCCUCUAUAAACC